rnacentral:lncRNA from 1 species
ACCACCUACCACGAGUCCAAGCUGGCGGCUAAGGAGUACCAGGCCGCCAAGGCCCGUCUCUUCACCGCCUUCAUCAAGGCUGGGCUGGGCGCCUGGGUGGAGAAGCCCACGGAGCAGGACCAGUUCUCCCUCACGCCCUGACCCGUGGGCCCAGCUCAGGGUGCAGGGCUGUCGGCCCCACACCAUCCCGAACCUCCCGUCUGGACUGGGGCAGGCUCACAGCCCGGUAGGGCCCAGGGACACUGUGUCCUGCACCAUCCCCGAACCUCCCGUCUGGACUCGGGCAGGCACACAGCCUGGUGAGGCAUGGGCCAGGGACCACUGGCGUCACGCACCCGACCAGGGCAGGUGUGGGGCUGUGGGGUGCCGGGCAUCUCACGUCUGCACUGGGACAGGUGCCACUCAUGUCCCCUCCUGAGUCAUCCAGUGACUGCUUCCAAUUCCAGUUUACGUUAGAGAUCGAGUUCUACUGAGUAGGGCUUCCUGAGUGUAGGAACGUAGACACGGCUGCGUGUGAGAUCCUUGAAUAAAUAAUUUAUUCAGAGCUAGGAAUGUGGUUUAUAAAACAAGAAGUAAAUAUGUCAGGUCACUUUGAUGCCACAUUAUUUUAAUUGCAAAACGUGGGGGUGGAGGGGGAGGGUGGGGCCUGGAGUGGAUCCCCGAGGGGCACGCAGGCCUCCCUGGUGGGGCCUCGGUGCCCAGUCCUGCAGGAUGUGACCCCGGCCGGCUCCUCCGCUGCCUCUGGAAGCUUCCGUACUCCUGGGUGGGAUCAUGGGAGCCUUCCUCAGUUCACUCUGGAUCAUCAAGAUGAAGCAUGUCCAGCGUCCUUUGCUGGCUGAUCAUGUGGGUCUUGGAGCCUUUGUGGACGGAGGGGACCUUGGGCGGCUGUGCGAGAGGAGCCUGGGCCCCACGCUCCCGGCCAGGCCCUCGCAGGGAGGGAGCCGCGUGUCCAGGUGGACUUGGCCCUCGGCACUUCAGUCCCCCCUCCGGCCUCAUCAGAGACACUCCUGCAGCUGAGCUGGCAGCCCUGGGGCUGGUGGGCACCAGAGGCUGAGGUCGGGCAGCGCAGGGGCGAGCGCUGCCGGUCCCCGGGUGCUGCGCCGGGAGCCUCUGGGCAGGAGCAGCCAGGGCCCACCUGGACCUGCACUCGGAGGCUGCACAGGUGCCUUGGAGCUCCAGGACUAGAGGGCAGGGGCCUGUCUGCUCCAGAGGGGCACCAAGGGGCCUUGGGGCCACGGCAGUGGCAGGCCCAGACCCGCAAUGCCACGCCCAGGCAUGAGGCCUGAGUGGCACCGGGCUGUCCACCUUGCUGUUGGUGCCCUGUGAGUAGGGAGCCAGGGAGCAGGGCGUGGCUGCGGUGACCAGGCUGACAGCUGAGUGCGCUGCCUGGGGACACGGGCCUGUCUGCAGGGCUCACUGCCCACGGCUCCGGUCCCCUGGGCUCGUUCCGCAUGGCGGGAGGGACACAGCCAGGUGCAGUGGGCACGGACAGGCCCACCCCAGCCCCCGCUGCUGGUCUCGGACCCGCUGCCCUGCUAGGCAGUGCUGGGUCCCCCUUGCCCCCGCAGGAGCCGGGGUCUGGGGGCUGUGUCCUGGGGCAGGCUCCUGUGCACUCCAGGGAGCACGGCCGUCCCCUCGUCUGCCAGAGGCAUCGUCCUCGGGGGGACUGGAGGUGAACUCAGUCUUUUGCGGUGGCCUUCUGGCCUUGGAGUCCAGCAGGAACACGUCCCACACGCAGUCACACACCGUGGGGCUGGCUUCACGCUGCCCUCCGGGGGCACUCCUGCCAUGUUGGCCCUGGCCGUCCAGCCCUUGAUCUGGACCUGCAGGCUCACAGGAUCUGACACAAUCAGGGACUUGAUUUUUUGAGAAAAAAAAUCUUUGAGUUCUGACAUUUUGACAGUGGGGGGCGGGGUCUCUUCUGCUUGUGAGGGACCCCUGAAGUGCUGUGCCACAGACACUGUCCCCCGGGAUGCUCAGGGACGGCUUUGCCAGGGCAGCUGGCUCAGCAGUGGGAGGGCGUGUGGGAGUCUCAGGUGGGCCACAUGUUCUGUGUGGAUGGCCGCAGUGGUGGGGCAGGGCUGGCCGUUGGCACCCGUGCCGUGGCCCCAGGCAGUACAGUCUCCAGCCAGGGAUGCCAAAGAAUCGCAGCUCUGAUUCAGGUCUUGAUCGUCCAUCACCCUUUCCUGUCUUGUGACCACACAGUGGCUUCAUCUCAGUGUGUGAGUGGCGGCCCCAGCCUGGGUCCCCGGGGCGUCACACCUGCCAGAGGUCGCUGCAGCCGUGAGGCCGUCCCCUGCAGCCCCGCGGGAGCAGCUCCGGGUGCGGGUGCUGGAGAGCGGCUGCCGGUGGGCUGUGCACGGGUGUGGGCAGUGGUCUCCACUCCUGAGGCACGCACCAGAAACGCCAGCAGGAGAAGCAAAGUGAGGUCACUUUCUUGUCCCCAGGUCCAAUCCCUCUGUAUCAGCCCCAGAGUCCGCGUGGCCAGGGCAAAGGACCUGGGUUUGGGGUGCACCUGCAUCUCCCCUGGUGCCCAGGCCCGCGGAGGUGGAGGCUCUGCUCGAGGCUGGCGGGCUGCUUGGCCGGUCCACGCUGGCGCUCUGGGGUUCCUGUGAUGCCGGGAAGUGAGGCGGUGGCCUCUGGCCUGCCAGGCGGGCGGGUCUCGGUGGCGUGGGCCCAGCUGCUGGACGUGAGGUGUGGUGGUGAGGUGGCCCCUGGCCCCGCAGGCACCUGCUCCGCUGCUUGCUGUUGGAGGAGGGGCGCCGCGGGCGUGGUCCCCACAAGCCGGUGGCUGAGGCUCAGACGCCAUGGGAGUGUGCUCCAGCAGGAGCUGUUGCCAGGGUGUGGCCCUCGUGUCCUCUGUGUGUGUCCUGUGUAUGCCACACGUCCCCUGCAUGAGCUUCCUCCCUCUGAGGCCGGCCGAGCUGAGCAUGAGACGCUGUCCCACAGACAGAGGGUCUGAGAUGUUCUCAAUAAAAAUGAGCUGUUUCCGCAGACGGUGUGCUGGACU